CCUUGCUGGCACCCGAGCAGCUGCAGCGAGAUGGCACGUGUGCAGCUGACUGGAAUUCAGUGAGCAAUUUUGUUGAUGCAUACGGAGAGGAAGUUCCAGCUGAGGGCUGGCUCUGGAGGACUAACAGGAUUAAAAAGCAGCAGAACUAUUCUUCUGCCUCCGCUGUUGGACUCACAAGGCAGGGCUGGAGGGAAUCCAUCACGUUACUGAGCCCGGGGACCUGCUGUGGGCAAUUGGAGCAGGUCAUUCUUACAGGCAAUGGAACGCACGCUUCUGGAACACAGCCUCCACUGUAUACGUGGUGCAGUACCAAAAUGUAACCUGGAUCUAGAGGUCGAGCUUUCGGAGGAUCCUCACAAGGCGAUGGCUCCAGGCACCAGGUUUGAUCAGCAGCACCGUGCAAAGGAUCUGGGCUCCUGCAACAAAGCACACCAGUGAAAGAAACCCAAAGCUGCUCUUAAAAACAGAAGCAGAACAUACAGCUCUGAGUACUAGCCAGGACAGGUGUCUAUACAAGAGGGCUGUCUAAAAACUGGCAUGGAGUUCAUAGGAAUUCCAAUUAAACAAGUUUGUAA